rnacentral:misc_RNA from 1 species
GAUGAAGAACGUAGCGAAAUGCGAUAAGUAAUGUGAAUUGCAGAAUUCAGUGAAUCAUCGAAUCUUUGAACGCACAUUGCGCCCGCCAGUAUUCUGGCGGGCAUGCCUGUUCGAGCGUCAUUUCAACCAUCAAGCUCUGCUUGCGUUGGGGAUCCGCGGCUGCCCGCGGUCCCUCAAAACCAGUGGCGGGCUCGCUAGUCACACCGAGCGUAGUAACUUUACAUCGCUAUGGUCGUGCGGCGGGUGCUUGCCGUAAAACCCCCCAAUUUUUAAGGUUGACCUCGGAUCAGGUAGGAAUACCCGCUGAACUUAAGCAUAUCAAUAAGCGGGGA